rnacentral:rRNA from 1 species
GGGGGGGGGGGGGGGGGGGGGGGGGAGGUGGGGGUCGGGCGGGGAGGGGCGAGCGUGCUGGAGUACUCGAGUGGCGAACGGGUGAGUAACACGUGGGUAAUCUGCCCUGCACUCUGGGAUAAGCCUGGGAAACUGGGUCUAAUACUGGAUAUGACCUUUCUCCUUAUGGGGUUUGGUGGAAAGUUUUUCGGUGUAGGAUGAGCCCGCGGCCUAUCAGCUUGUUGGUGGGGUGAUGGCCUACCAAGGCGACGACGGGUAGCCGGCCUGAGAGGGUGAUCGGCCACAUUGGGACUGAGAUACGGCCCAGACUCCUACGGGAGGCAGCAGUGGGGAAUAUUGCACAAUGGGCGGAAGCCUGAUGCAGCGACGCCGCGUGAGGGAUGACGGCCUUCGGGUUGUAAACCUCUUUCAGCAGGGACGAAGCGUAAGUGACGGUACCUGCAGAAGAAGCACCGGCUAACUAUGCG